GCAGCAGAGGUCCAGGGUGCAGAGAGACUGUUCCUUCCUCUGUCCUCUCAGUCGACCAACAGGCCGCUGUAUGCUGAGGUGGCUGAGUGGAGGAUGCUCCUGUGUCGCUUCAGCCACUUCCUCAACAUGAUAGACAGAAUGUUUGAAGAGAUGCUCUGUGUCUUGGUCAGAUCUGCAGUUCAACUCCUUCUGUUGUUCCUCCGAGAGUCCUCUAACACUAAUGGAGUGAACGAGAGAAGACAAAAGACAAAGUAAGUGGUUUUUAAGGGAAAUAUAGUAAGGUUAUGGCAUUUGUCAAUGAGUUUAAUUAGCAUGCUUGCGAUGUUGAAAUAUUUGCUUGUGUAUUCGCUAGAAAAAUGGCAAGGAUGGAUGCAAGUGGACCUUAUAUAAAUAUUAUCAAAGAGCCAACAGUUCGUAAUGCGGCGCAUAAACUUUAUUCACACAGCCAAGGCCAACCACAGCUUGUUAACAAGAUGCUACCAGAUUUUAAAAAGGAGGAGCCUAAAGAAGAGAUCCAGGCUGUAUUUGAAGUGAACGUCCUGCUUACAGUCACACCUGUGAACCAGCCAAUGACAGAUGAUGUCUCAGCCAAAGGGACAGCCACAACAGAGCUCCACUCUGAAGGUGAAUCCCAUUUAUAGUAAAAAAAACAGCUAAAAUAGAUAUUAACUCUUUGAGCUAAGGUGUUCAACUUAAAUGUCUGCUGAAGCUUAGUGUUUUCUCAACCUAGAUACGGAGAAGGAUAAAGAGGUUUCCCGUGAGGAGACUCCACGGCGGUAUGACUUCACUUAUAUAUUACAAUAAACUGUAUCGCUCCAUGUUCCUCUAUUAGAAAAAUGUAUGAAUUUCACAAAUAUCAGCUAGUGUUUUUCUGCUAAUCUGUCAGUCAGCUGUCAGUGAAGUGAUUAUAUUACACAGAUGUUGUUGUUUUCCUUGUCCUAGUUCGCCCAGCAGACGAGUGAAGCUAACCAUCGAUCCCUGCCUUGAUGACUUCACACUGCACAUUCAACAGGUGCUACAGGGAUUUCAACAAGUCAUUGGUAAGACAUUCUCUAAAGAUUUCAAUUCACAGCCUUGUUGUCUUGUAAAUACUGUAGGUUCAUAAGUAUUAUGCUGUUUUAAAGUGCAGAGCUUUGCCAGACGGUAAUGGACUGUGUCCCAGAUGGCACACUAUUC
rnacentral:lncRNA from 1 species